rnacentral:rRNA from 1 species
GACGAACGCUGGCGGCGUGCUUAACACAUGCAAGUCGAACGGAAAGGCCCUGCUUUUGUGGGGUGCUCGAGUGGCGAACGGGUGAGUAACACGUGAGUAACCUGCCCUUGACUUUGGGAUAACUUCAGGAAACUGGGGCUAAUACCGGAUAGGAGCUCCUGCUGCAUGGUGGGGGUUGGAAAGUUUCGGCGGUUGGGGAUGGACUCGCGGCUUAUCAGCUUGUUGGUGGGGUAGUGGCUUACCAAGGCUUUGACGGGUAGCCGGCCUGAGAGGGUGACCGGCGACAUUGGGACUGAGAUACGGCCCAGACGCCUACGGGAGGCAGCAGGGGGGAAUAUUGCACAAUGGGCGGAAGCCUGAGGCAGCAACGCCGCGUGCGGGAUGACGGCCUUCGGGUUGUAAACCGCUUUCGCCUGUGACGAAGCGGGAGUGACGGUAAUGGGUAAAGAAGCACCGGCUAACUACGUG